rnacentral:rRNA from 1 species
UUUCGACGGUAUGGUAUUGGCUUACCGUGGCAGUGACGGUUAACGGGGGAUUAGGGUUCGAUUCCGGAGAGGGAGCCUGAGAAACGGCUACCACAUCUAAGGAAGGCAGCAGGCGCGCAAAUUACCCAAUUCUAACAGCAUAAGAGAGGUAGUGACAAGAAAUAACAAUACAAGGCAUUUAAAAUGCUUUGUAAUUGGAAUGAUAGAAAUUUAAACACUUUUUAAAGUAUCAAUUGGAGGGCAAGUCUGGUGCCAGCAGCCGCGGUAAUUCCAGCUCCAAUAGCGUAUAUUAAAAUUGUUGCAGUUAAAAAGCUCGUAGUUGAAUUUCUGUUAAAAAUAACCGGUCUGCUUUUAACAAAAGUGGUAUCUUGGUGUGUUUUUAGCAAUAAUGUCCUUUGAAAUGUGUUUUACUUUGUUGUAAAAGACAAUAUUCAGGAUUUUUACUUUGAGAAAAUUAGAGUGUUUCUAGCAAGCUAAUGUUUUGAAUACUGCAGCAUGGAAUAAUAAAAUAGAAUUUUAGUUCUACAUUGUUGGUUUUAAGAGCUGAAUUAAUGAUUGAUAGGGACAGUUGGGGGCAUUUGUAUUUAACUGUCAGAGGUG